AUACUUCCCUGGCAUGGGAGAUACCAUGAUCAUGAAGGUGGUUUUCCCAGGGUGAGGCUUAUCCAUUGCACUCCGGAUGUGCUGACCCCUGUGAUUUCUCCACAUGUGGGAAACUCGACGGCAUAAUUUGUGGUAGUAGAGGACUGCAUUCUCUCUUUCCCUUG
ensembl:snRNA U1 U1 spliceosomal RNA